UUUUGGGCAUGGAACCUGGUGGGUGUGGAGGUCUCCUUCCACACUUGAAACACUUCCAAGUUGGAUAAGAGUCCAAUUAAAAUAGAUCCAAUCCAAUUAGGUCAAAGACAACAUAUCUAUUUUAUCUCAAACAUUUUGAACUUAACCUAAUUAGGAACUUGGAUUAACAUAAUGUGCUAGCAUAUCAAAUUAACCCUUAGGAUUGACAUUAAAUCUUAAUUAAAUCAGACUAAGACUAAAUCUCAAAGUGUGUGACCCAUUGAGUUUCAAAUCUAGCCAGCAGUGGACAUAAACUCUUGAUCUAACUCUAAUCCGAUCAGAUUAGAUCAGCUCAAGAGUCCCAAUCAACUAAGACUCUUCCUAAUUAAUUCUCAAAUUAAACUCUUUUAAUUCUAAUGAGUUCACAAGUCAAGAUUGACAUCUAGCAACGUGUCAUGACUAUUUGAAAGAUUUAAAAUUUUGAUAGAAAUUAUCAAAAUAUUUUUCUGUGGUAAGUUAUCGUGUAAUUCAAUUUUUUAGUCAAACAACAUCCCAGAUGAGCAUGGGUAUGAAAUCAUGUCAAAUCUAAUUGCUUAUCUAUAUGUAUCUCGAUCAGAAGGUGAUGAUUCAGUUAAUGAUAUAUUAGAAAUUUCUUUCUAAUUAUCAUCCUGCUUUGACCAAAGACUUUCAGAAUCAUCCACCUAUGAGAUCACAUAGGAUGUUUGCUCUCCUUAUUAGGAGUGACUGGUUUCUUAUCAAUCACUCAUAACCUCCAUGCACAUUUCAUCAUAUUCAGAACACUCUAAACAAGGAUUAGAGAAUCAAGUUAGGAAGUGAACCAAAAUAUGGAUUUAUGUACAUAAGGUACCAUGGUAAUCUCAGAUCAAAAGUCACUUAUACAACUCUCACUAGAGAAUAAUCAGCUGACAUAUAAAUAAGACUCCAUCAGAUGUUCUUUCAUAGGUCUAUUCAGUAAACUCAUUCUCUAAUGAGCACCCACAUCUUUGUAUUAGUGUCACCACACAAGUGAUUGUGAGAUCAACUACCUUCAUCACUGAGCAUACAUAGGAUAUGCCAGUCUUACCGAUAUCAUUGAUCUCUGACUCAAUGAACCAAUGACUGAAAAUAUUUUAGGCAUGGCUAUCAAGAAUUUAGGUCUCACUGAUGUGAUUUUAUUACAGUCCUAAAAUCAUUGUCUAGACCUGUGGGGUUCAUUACAGUCUUAAAAAGAAUAAGAUGCGAUAUAUAAUGAACCAAGAAGUCUAUUUUAUUAAAUAACAAUGUCAAUUACAUGAGUUUGAAAGAUAAAUUAUAAAAAGCAUCCGAUCGCAUCCCAUAUACAAUUGACUUGUAGGAUAUUAUUCUUUCAUCAUUUAUCCUGAAGAAGCGAUUGUGCACCAAUCUCUUUGAAUUAAACACCAUCUCCAUAAUGAUCCUAUGAUCUGAAGUAAUUUAUGAAUUAAUUAUAAUGAUUCGUGUCUCAAAUUCUCAACUUUUGAGAAUAUGUAUCAUUACUCUUAUUAACUCAAAGGAUGAUUCAUAGACACUUAAAACAUAAAUAUGAAUGAAAAUAAACCCAACUUUAUUAAUUUAUACAUCAAUAUUACAAAAUAUGCCUUAAGAAAGUUUUAUAAGUGUCGGUCAAUUUGGCUUCUAGGGCAUAUAUCUAAUAUAGAGACCCCUAGGUAUGUAAUCUCUCUUUCAUGCUUCUUUCCAUCUAUUUUCAAGUUUCUAACUUAAACAUUAGAGGAUCUCCAUCGGAGCCAACUCUAGUCAGGGACUUCUUUUAUAGGUCUGAUCGUCAUUAUCCUACCAUCGUCAUCCACUCCAGCUAUGCCGAUCUUUGACUCAAAAAUUUGCAGCAACAGAUAGAUAAAAAAAGUUACACAUAUUUUUCUUCUAUAUAAUAAAAUAUUAAAUUGAAAAGAUUAGAGAGUAGUCUAAAAUCAAGUUAUGUCUAAAGAUGUUGUUUAAAAAGUGAUAUCACCCUCCAACAUGCGAAACUACUGGUAAUCGUCCACUAGAUCGCUGGUGACCAUCCCCAAAGAUGCAACGAUCUAGUGGAUGCUCACUCAUAGAAUCUCAUAUCUCUUCUUUUUCCAUUUUAGUCAAUAUAUAGACUAGCUACAAUGGGGAGAGAAGAAUCCAAUGGAGAAAGAUGGCUCAUAAAAAGGAGCUUCGUAAUGGCCAGUCUAAAAGAAGAAGUCAAAUAAGAAAGCUCUAAUAAAUAGAUAGUUAAUAGACUAUUCUUAAGCCUUUUAGUAAGCUCAUUAGGUCUUGUCUUAUAUAGGCCAAUCAAAUAAAUCAAGAUAUGAAUGAUAAAAUAAAAAAAAUAUUCACAAGAUCACUAUUUAUUUAAAAUUUUAAAUCAUAAAAAAAAUUAAUAAAUCCAACAAUCCCCCACAUGAUUUAAAAUUUUAUGAAUAUUAAGCUUAUUUAAAAUUAUAAAAUAACUGAGAAUCAAUACACUCAAAUCUCAUAUGAUGGGCACUAUAUACUAUGCAAUGAGUGAAAGCACCUUUCGGAUUUAAACCUCUAUUUAGUAUUGACUGCAU
rnacentral:lncRNA from 1 species